GUUCUAUUCCCGAACGUAUACUGAAAUUGGAACAGUACAGAAGAUUAGCAUGACCCCUGCGCAAAGAUAGUUCGCGAAGCGUUCCUAAAAUUU
rnacentral:snRNA from 1 species